UUUUUGUUACCUAACUAUUCCUAGUACAAUCUUGUUAUUUUUUAGAGUAAUUUUUUUCUGUGCAAUUUAAAUCCUAUAAUCCCAAGUGGUUUAAUUGAAUAAAAGUGUAUUUCUCAUCUUUCAUUCUCAUGUAGUUUCAGCAAAACUCCAAAGCAGCCGUCCUCCAAAUAGUGACACAAAAAUCCAAGCAUCUUCAAUAUUCUUAACUGUGCUCUCUAGAACGUGUGGCUACAGGGUCACAGCAGCUGAGGUGGAAUGAGAUCAAGAGACACACCAGUUCUUCUCUGCCUUAGAAUGGGUCAUACCAGCAAGAAGCAGAUGUCUAAAAUGUCAGCAGGUGACGUUUUAAAAAUAACAGCUUUACUGAGUGCCGGGGAUCAAAGUGAGGACCUUGCACUCUCCUGGCAGGCACAGCGCCACUGAGCUACAUCCCUGGCCAUGUAUUACCAAA
rnacentral:lncRNA from 1 species